GACUCGGUGGCGGAUGGUCCGCGCCUGUCCGAUCUUGCCAGUGAAUGAGAGAUUUCUCAUGCAGGAGCCGCCCGUUCGAUUCGGGGCCGAGUCA